rnacentral:miRNA from 1 species
UUGAAGAGAGGUUAUCCUUCGU